UACGUAGGGUGCAAGCGUUGUCCGGAAUUAUUGGGCGUAAAGAGCUCGUAGGCGGUUUGUCGCGUCUGCUGUGAAAACUCGGGGCUUAACUCCGGGCCUGCAGUGGGUACGGGCAGACUAGAGUGCGGUAGGGGAGACUGGAAUUCCUGGUGUAGCGGUGAAAUGCGCAGAUAUCAGGAAGAACACCCGUGGCGAAGGCGGCUCUCUGGAACGCAACUGACGCUGAGACGCGAAAGCGUGGGGAGCAAACAGG
rnacentral:rRNA from 1 species